rnacentral:rRNA from 1 species
UACAGAGGGGGCAAGCGUUGUUCGGAAUUACUGGGCGUAAAGUGCGCGUAGGCGGCCUUCUAAGUCGAACGUGAAAUCCCCGGGCUCAACCCGGGAACUGCGUCCGAGACUGGAAGGCUUGAAUCCGGGAGAGGGAUGUGGAAUUCCAGGUGUAGCGGUGAAAUGCGUAGAUAUCUGGAGGAACAUCGGUGGCGAAGGCGGCAUCCUGGACCGGUAUUGACGCUGAGGCGCGAAAGCCAGGGGAGCAAACGGG